UAACCUACCCAUCAGAGGGGGAUAACAACUUGGAAACAGGUGCUAAUAACCGCCAUAACAGUUUAUGCCGCAUGGCAUAAGAGUGAAAGGCGCUUUCGGGUGUCGCUGAUGGAUGGACCCGCGGUGCAUUAGCUAGUUGGUGAGGUAACGGCUCACCAAGGCCACGAUGCAUAGCCGACCUGAGAGGGUGAUCGGCCACACUGGGACUGAGACACGGCCCAG
rnacentral:rRNA from 1 species